rfam:Nitrospinae bacterium RIFCSPLOWO2_12_FTLL_45_22 rifcsplowo2_12_scaffold_43551, whole genome shotgun sequence.
GGGUCCAGAAAUGGUUUAUAUUUCUGGAGGUUAAAUAAUAACUGAUAGUCGGGCCGCUAUCU